GUCGGCGAGAAGAUUAGGAUCCUCAGGUUGGUGCUGGUGGGUGGUCCUGAUGGAGCCAUCGACCCUGCACCUCUGUCUGAUCUGCAAGGCUUCGGGACAACCCUUGUCCAAUAUUUACGACAUGAGGACGACCAGCACACAGCGCACCUUAUCUCAAGCCAUUGCGUCUGUGGUGAGCCCCCACUUGCCUCUGGUGCGCAGCGGUGCCAUCUGUCCGCACUGUACGGAACUUGUGCUGCGGCUGGAUCAGCUAGAGGGCCAGGCGCAAGUGCUCCGGACAUCUCUGCUCAACAUGUACCUCCAGCCGCCCGCC